UGUUGAACCUGUUUGUGUUACAGCAGACAGGUCAAGCUGCACGUUUGAGUUUACACUGACUUGAUGCUAAAUCUGUAGUUUGAAUAAAGAGCCCGCCCCAAGUGUUUGUCUUCUGUCAGAGCUGAAUAUAAAUAGUGAGUAAGUAGAAACUGUUUGCAGAAGCGGUUUGGUUCUGUCAGUAGUUAACGAACUCACGGCGGUCUCAGGUGACACCGGGACACUGGACCUCAGAAACAGAGCCGGCCUGCAGGAGGGCAGACGGGUCAGCACAGCUCCAGCAGCUACAGAAGUCUGAAAAUGAGAAACAAAUGUGGAAGAAAAAGCAUUGAUUCUGAACAUGUGGUUCACAUACUGAUCAUUCUCCAACUUAAACUUGAUGUGUUCAAUAAAUCCUGCAUGUUUUA